rnacentral:rRNA from 1 species
CCCUUAGAUGUUCUGGGCCGCACACGCGCUUCACUGAAGGAGGCAGCGUGUACUCCUGGAUCGAAAGAUUUGGGUAACCCGCGAAUCUCCUUCGUGCUAGGGAUUGAGGUUUGCAAUUAUCCUUCAUGAACGAGGAAUUCCCAGUAAGUGCAAGUCAUAAGCUUGCGCUGACUACGUCCCUGCCCUUUGUACACACCGCCCGUCGCUACUACCGAUUGAAUGAUUUAGUGAGGACUUCGGACUGGGACCGAUGCGGCUUUCGGGCUGCGUCGGUAUUCUGGAAAGAUGUCCAAACUGUAUCAUUUAGAGGAAGUAAAAGUCGUAACA